rnacentral:rRNA from 1 species
UGGGGGAUAUUGCACAAUGGGCGAAAGCCUGAUGCAGCGACGCCGCGUGGGGGAUGAAGGCCUUCGGGUUGUAAACCUCUUUUGCUCUGAACAAGGCAUGCCUUUGGGGUGUGUUGAGUGUAGGGGUUGAUUAGCGCCGGCUAACUACGUGCCAGCAGCCGCGGUAAUACGGAGGGUGCAAGCGUUAAUCGGAAUUACUGGGCGUAAAGCGCACGUAGGCUGCUUUGUAAGUCAGGGGUGAAAUCCCACGGCUCAACCGUGGAACUGCCUUUGAUACUGCUUAGCUUGAGACCGGGAGAGGGUGGCGGAAUUCCAGGUGUAGGGGUGAAAACCGUAGAUAUCUGGAGGAACAUCAGUGGCGAAGGCGGCCACCUGGGCCGGUAUUGACGCUGAGGGGCGAAAGCGUGGGGGGCGAACAGG